CAUUGCAUUUUGUCUCCCUGUUAAAGGAAACACAUACGCCAUAGAUUAAUGUCCACUUGAAAUGAUAAAACUUCGAGCUGGCCCGAGAAUAAAGCCUUAAAAGUGUUUCAGGGCUGUAUGAACCAGUGAUGAGAUGGCAUCAUACUGGUAGAGGUCCACAGUGACAUCAGUGGAGUUCUUUACGUGGGACACUUCAUGACAGUCAGUGCGAGAAUUUACCAUCAAUCCUCUCUCUGGCUGUCACGUUUGCUUCUUCUGCAGACCUCUGUCUCAACUGAGACGUGAGCCCA